GAGUGUGUGAGUGGUGAAGUUCAUACUUGGACCCAGGCAGCUCAAUUCUCCCCUCUGCAGGCCUACCCACCAGUCCGCACUGUCCAAGGCAAACUGACCACUGCAGCCAGAUUCCCGUGUCACCAAGUUGACUUCCUCCACUUCUAGGAUAUGCAAACAAGAGCACUUACUGGAAAGGAGGUCUCGGGGCCUCUGGAUUUCAUCAGCUGCCCACUCUCCCAGGAGAGCAGGUGGAACCAGUCGAGCCAGAGGCCAAGGCCAGAAGGCAGGCUGAAUAUUUCAAGGUCUGUGGGGCCUCUUCCUCUUGAGUUUUUAAUUUCAAUGGGAUAUACAUAAGAAAUGCCAAGGAGGAAGCAGUUGAUUUGCGGUUGCCAAGCCAAGAAGGGUACAGAGGAAAAACAAGAUGAAAUGGAAAAGGUCAACAACCUCAUUGUGCAAAAUUCUGCUCCCAGUGAGAAGAUAAAGGCAGCACAGUGCUCAGGAUGAAUGACUGACUCCAAAAAAAAGGUUUUUCUGGCUGUGGUUCUAAUUAUAAUGUUGGAAAUACCAGUUCAUUGCACAGGGAACAGAAAUUUAAAAAAAAAAAAAACUACUGAAUGCAAAUAGUUGAGCACAGGUGAAGGAUGGAAAUUUUCAGGGAAGCUCAAGUCAGUAUAAACUGUUCUCCUCCCUCUAGUCCUGGUCCCUGGAGGAAUGGGGGGACAUUUGCUGAUCAAGAUUAGGAGUGUCCCUCUAGAAAACUGUUUUCAAUUUCUGCCCCCCAAAUGUUUAAAGUUACACUUAGACAACACACUUCCUGCAAGCCUGAAGAAAGUUGAUUUUUCAAGACACUGAUGAAACACCUCAAUUGAGAAAUUUUAUUUUCAUUCAAAGCUGUGCCCAGGGUGGCUGUCUUCUCUACCCGUUUCUCAAUUCUGGAAAGUAAAGUCAGAUUCAGAGGCCCUUCGACUUGUAAAGUCACCCGGUCAACUGGAAGGUGAAUCUAAAGGAUCCCUGACAUGUGGCUUUGGGAUGUUGGAGAACCUGCAUUCAUUCCUUCUGUGGAGGUGCAUGUUCCCGGAUGGUGCUGCCCUGGGUGGGGGUCUGAGGCUGGCAGGUGGGCACUCCGGUCACCAGCGUUCUGUUAUCUGGUGCCGAGGAGGCUGUUUGUGGGCGUGAAGAACUCAAACAGGGGGUUAUCUCUGCUGAUGUCAGUUUCCUUCAGAUUCCAAGACAGGGCCGCCCUGGGGAAGUGAAGGGGCUCAGACUGGACUGCCUUUGCUUCGGAGCCUGGACCUAAACGCAACAAUCUCCUUCCUGUGUUCCAGGCACUCAAGCACUGUUAUGUUGCUUUCAUGCACAUCCCUGUCUUUUCGAGUAAAAACAGACAACAGGCUUCCCAGGGGAUCCAGUGGUAAAGAAUUCACCUGCCAAUGCAGGAGACGCAAGUUCAGGUCCCUGAUCCGAAAAGAUCCCACCUGCUAGGAGCUCCUAAGCCCGUGUGUCACAGCUCCUGAGCCUGUGCUCCAGAGCCCAGGAGCGGCGACGGCUGAGUCCACGUGCCACAACCACUGAAGCUCCGGCACCCCAGACCCCGUGCUGAAGCCACCGCCGUGAGACGCCCGCACACACCACUGGAGAAGAGCCCUGAGAUCACUUCGAAGCUAGAGAAAAGCCCGCACAGCAGUGAAGACUCGGGACAGCCAAGAAUAAAUAAAUAGUUAAAAACAGACAACAACAAUGAAAAAAAAGCUCUUGAAGAGAUCCAUGGUGUAUUCCUGGUCCCCCAGCAGAGCCAAACACUAACCUCCACCCCGUGCUAUUCAAGUUUGGCGGUCAGACCCCCACCUCUGGCUUCCGUGCAGGCACAGACCAUGACAAGGGCUUUCAGGAAACAUGUUGUAGGUCCUAAGGAUUGUAAUAAACUCUAUAAUUCUGGAACUCUAGGUUGGAAAAUACAACUCAUUUUCAAACACAAAAUGAUUCUGUUUAGUAUGAAGCAACAGGGUCCCUCACUUUUUUUUCUGGCUGCGCCUUGUGACUUGUAAGAUCCUAGUUUCAGACCAGGGAUUGAACCCAGGCCCUCAGCAGUGAAAGCUCGGAGCCCUAACCAUUGGGCCGCCAGAAAAGUCCCAACAGGGUCCCUUUUUAAAAAACUGGAGAUCCAAACCUCUUCCUCCCCAGAUCCUGCAGCCUUGCUCAGCUGUUCUGUGCAGAGCAACUCCCAUGAGUCCCCCCCACCCCCAGGUAUGGCAUCAUCCAGGCCCUGCCCUGGAAUCUCACUGGAGGUCACAGGUCUGUGUACCGAGGCAAUGUUGGCAGUUCUCUGCUGGGAAUGUUGUCCUAGGUUACACAGAGAGAACUGGUUAUCGGUAGCCUGUGGCCAGGUCCAGCCCACCCAGGGGUCAUGUGGGCCUUUUGUCCUCUUGUUGGGGGAGAGUGAAGCUGGGGAAAAUUCACCUGGUGUCCAUCCCUAUGAUGCCUCUCCUACAUCUCAUCCAUCACUAUGGUCCACCUUCAUGGGCACUUUUCUGCAUGUAACCAGUGGUCAAAUUUUAUAUUCAGACAUAUUUUAAAGACUUGGACCCACCAUUGCUCUACUUGGCCAUCUGGGACCUGUCAAAACUCCUGGCUACCAGAUAUCAAAAGAUAGAAGAAAGGAUGAGAAUUGUGUGAAACUAGGGAAAGUGUGGGAAUGGCACAUGGUGUGAAGGUGGAUGACCCUUGGUGAGAGUAAUACCUAACAGGAAUUGUGAUGCUUAAUUGUGAUGCUUUCUCUGUGUCACGAACUGUGUUUAACAUAUUAUCUUGGUCGACACUUGAUUCUUAUUUUCCUAAUAGGGAAAUUGAGGCUCAGAGAGGUCAAGUAACUUGUCCAAGGUUACCUAACUAGUAUGUGUCAGAGCUGAAAACCUGUCCGAUGUCCAUUUGUCUAUGUCGCUAGUCCAGGCCUCCAGCCUCCAGGUUGCAAGGACCGUCCUUACAGGGUCUGGAAAUGGAAGAUGCAUGGUCUCUGUUCCAGUAUCUCGGAGGCAAUCGUAAUUCUUGUCCUCCGCUCCAAAAGCUUUUCUCUUCUCAUAUUUCCUUUAUUCUCCAAACCAGAGUUUGGUCUAUAUUUUACCCAGCUGACUCUUGGAGCUGCAUAAAUCCUAGAUGUUUUCAUGAAAAAAAGUUUAUGAGAAAACAGAAAAUGUACAGCUUGCUGUCUUUCCCCACAGGAAUAUUAGAUGUACAAAGUCAGAUAUAAAUAAAAGACAGGAGGAUUCUUUUUUUUUUUUUUUAAUAUUGAAAGUCCCUGGGCCAUUCUCAAGAAAUCCGGUCUCCUAUGAGCCAGGUCAGGAUAAAACUCACAGCAUCACCUAACGGGAAGGCCAUCUCACCAAAGAGGGAGGGAUUCAGUUGCUAUUAUUUUAGAGUCAGAGCCUCAGGGUUUAUGUAUGUGUCUGGGAAGGUUUAGUUUAGGUAAAUCCAGUGCUGUACAGAUAAAUAUCACUUACGAAAUUAGUCAUGAAACAUUUUGCAAAAAUAGAUAUACCAUAUGAAAGUGAAGCAAUCAAAACCAAGGCAGGAUCCUAGAACAGAAAACAGAAAGUAAGGGAGAAACAGUUGAAAUCCAAAUAAGGUCUAGAGUUUAGUUAAUAGCACUGUGGCAGUGUUGGCAUUUUGACAAAUAUAACAAUGGUAGUGUAAGUUGAAAACAUUGUGUGCGUGUGUGCUGAGUUGUGUCCAAGUCUUUGUGACCCCAUGGACUGUAGCCUGCCAGACUCCUUUGUCCAUAGAAUUUUUCAGGCAAGAAUACAGGAGUGGGUUGCCAUUUCCUACUCCAGGGGCUCUUCCAACCCAGGGAUCGAAUCCACGUCUCUUGUGUCUCCUGUAUUGGAGGUGGGUUCUUUUUCACUGUGCCACCUAAAAAGGCUGAUAACA